GUUUGUUGUGUCGCGUAGAUGCCACGGGGAGCCCCAGGCACGGCCAGGCGGCCCCAGCAUCUGCUACGCUCCUCUUCUACACGGGAGAAGAGAAAGUCUCUGACUGUUUUUUUUACUUGCUUUUAAAGUGCACAAGUGACACAUAAACACAUUUGGAGUCUGGAACAAAUCUCGGACAUCACGUCAUUUCGUCCGUAAAUACUUCAGUUUGUGCCUCUUGCAGAUCAGGUCUCUUAACAUCAGCGUGAUGUCGUCAUCGUACCAGCUCAGGUAACAAGCAUCCCUCGCUAUCUUCUCAUCCCCAUUUCCUCCAGUUUUCUCAGGACGUCUCCAGGAGCAAUCGAAGCGUUGCUGGGCGUGUGGGUGAAUCCCAAGGUUCCUCGUCAGCGGGUCCACUGUCGGACUAGGCUCUGGCCAACGGGACCCGGCAUGGGAAUGGGCGAGAUGUGUGCAACUUCCGGCUAGGACGUGUGAGGGGAAAUGUGGGCCUGACGGCAGGAGCUGAAGCAGCUGUCUCAGCCCAGAAGUAAUAUGAUCCGUUGGAGACAUUUGGAAAAUAUGAAGAAUAUUUCCAGAACCAUCCAUAACUCUAGGCCUGAGAUUCUGCUGUGUUUCCUGUCUGUUGUACCACUGUCUCACGUCUUGGUUUCUGGCCAUGUCGAGGGAGAGUUCCAGGCAUGCAGUGCCUUUGCAAGACGAAAAUGCAGAUUCCAAGGCACCCCCAGACGAGCUGGAGGACCGGGUGCCCUGGAGCCACCCUGGGGCCACCCGCUUCCGUCGUGGCGUGGGCCCCAUCCCCAGCUCCAUCUGGUCCUCGCCACGGAGGCCUCUGGCAGUCAGCACAGGGGCAGCCUCCCACAGAGCCCUGAAGGACCAGGGUGACAAAAGGCCUCUCAGCAGAGUUGUUGUGAAGCAGCGAAGCCCCAUGGUAAAGGGCUCACGAGGCUUCAGACCACACAGGUGAGCCCCCUACAGGUGAGCCUCACACGAGUGAGACCCACACAGGUGAGCCCCACACGGAUGAGCCUCACACGGAUGAGCCCCACACGGGUGAGCCCCACACGACUGAGCCCCACACGACUGAGCCCCACACGGGUGAGCCCCACACGACUGAGCCCCACACGACUGAGCCCCACACGGGUGAGCCCCACACAGGUGAGCCCUCCACAGGUGAAUCCCACAUGAGUGAGCUCUACAUAGGUGAGCCCCACACAGGUGAGCUCCACACAGGUGAGCUGCACACGAGUGAGACCUCCACAGGUGAGCCCUUCACAGGUGAGCCCCACAUGGGUGAGCCCUACACAGAUGAGCCCCACCCGAGUGACCCACAUGGAUGAGCC
rnacentral:lncRNA from 1 species